GGGAGUUGCCUGACUUGUGACGCCCCAGGAGGCGGGUGGAAGGAUGGAGGAGGCAGUGUGCAGAGGGUUUUGGCAUCCUGCCUCAUCUCCUUGUGCCUGAGCUCGGGGACAGCCGCAGGGGACGGUCCUGUGCACACCAGCCGGGCUUUCCGGAGCUGGAGGGGUCUUCUAGCCUGAAACUGGGUACAGUCUCAACCAGAGCUAGUGGGGAAACACCGUGGCUCCUAUUCUUCCAAAGGACACUUUUCAGCUUUUCAAAGAUUCCAGAACAGUCCAGUCCCUGUUGCUAACUGCAGAAAAUUAGAAAACACACCCUUUAUUGGCUCUUCCUCCUUUCUUUUCUCAGUUUCCUCUCUCCCUUUCAUUUUCUGGCUUCCUGUAAUCAUCUCCCAAAUACACUACUUGCACCCAUGUCCUGACUUCAGGAUCUGCUUUCAUAGAAACCUGAACUAAGACAGGCAUAUUCCUGUUGCCUUUUGAGCACUUGGAUCCAGCUGUACCUGAAACCAACUCUACUCCUGGGCUUUCCAGGUCAGCCACCUGGUCCAGGGUGCACUCAGCAGGAGGGACUUGUUCAAGGACAAGAAGACCAGGAGGUGGGGAUAUGCUGGGUCCAUCUUUGAAGCUGUCAUGGGAUGCAAGGGGUCCAGACCCUCAGCCUCAAGGCCCCAAGCCGGAAAGGCCUUGAGCUUCAAAAUCAGUCUCUAAACUGUCAGGGACCCCAGACGGCUGCCCUGAACUUGUGGCGAGGAGUCUGCCGGCACCAGAUCAAGGUUGCGGCUCUGCCUUGAGCGCUCCUCCUGCACCUGCGCGCAGCCUCGGGAGCUGCCGCCAGUCCUGGGCUGUGCCGCACCUCGGAAGUGCAAGCCAUGCUUCAGGCGCCAGGGAGCUCCAGCUGGAGAGACAGGCCCGUGCUGAGACAGCCACGAACGUCAGAAUGUCCCCGAACACAGGAAGCCCGUCUGAUGCUCCGGCUCCCGCCUGUCCCGCUGGGGUCUACCUGCCGUAGCCAACGUCCUCUGCUGCCUGCUUCGCUCUGGGCAGUGUAUAAAGGACUCUCCAAGCAUCACCUCCCUUAACACUUGCCAUGUCCCUGAGAGGUGGACACUCUUGUCCCCACUUCAUAAGUGAAGAAACAGGUUCAAAAAUUUGAGUGGCUUUGAGCCGGCGCAGUGGAGCAGGCCUGUGAUGCCAGCAGCUCCGGAGGUAGAGGGAGGAGGAUUGCGAGUUCAAAGCCAGCCUUGGCCACUUAGUGAGGCCCUGUCUCAAAAUAAAGCAUUAAAAAAGAGAGUUGGGGGUGUGACCCAGUGGUGAAGCCCU